rnacentral:lncRNA from 1 species
CAGCGAAGGGUGGUGGAUUAUCAUUAGUUCUUAUAGGUUUUGGGAUAGGCGGUGAAGUUAAGAGCAAUGUUUUGCGGGCACGGGUGUAUCUCACAAAGUACAUUCUCAACAGUGGGGAGAAUUACAAAGUACCUUCUUAAGGGUGGGGGAGAUUACAAAGCACAUUGAUCAAUUAGGGUGGGGCAGAAACAAAUCACAAUGGUGGAAUGUCAUCAGUUAAGGCUAUUUUUACUUCUUUUGUGGAUCUUCAGUUACUUCAGGCCAUCUGGAUGUAUACAUGCAAGUCACAGGGGAUGCGAUGGCUUGGCUUGGGCUCAGAGGCCUGACAUUCCUGCCUUCUUAUAUUUAUAAGAAAAAUAAAACAAAAUAGUGUUGAAGUGUUGGGGCGGCGAAAAUUUUUGGGAGGUGGUAUGGAGAGAGAGUGGGCGAUGUUUCUCAGGGCUGCUUCAAGCGGGAUUAGGGGCGGCGUGGGAACCUAGAGUGGGAGAGAUUAAGCUGAAGGGAGAUCUUGUGGUAAGGGGUGAUAUUGUGGGGAUGUUAGAAGAAGCAUUUGUCGUAUAGAAUGAUUGGUGAUGGCCUGGAUAUGGUUUUGUAUGAAUUGAGAAACUAAAUGGAAUAAGAGAAGGAGAAAAACAGGUAUAAAAGGUCUAAGAAUUGGGAGGACCUAGGACAUCUAAUUAGAGAGUGCCUAAGGAGGUUCCGCAUAGUCCUGCCAGCAAAGAUUAUUUAUUUACUUCAGGAGUUUAGAGCUGCAUUUUGGGGAUAGCACCAGGAGAUAUCAUCUGUGAUGGCUUGGAGAAACAGUGUAAACAAGAGCAGGGCAUGUAUGAGUAGUUGAGAACGGUGAAUAGGAGUAUGACUAGACAGAAGAUAAUAGGGAUGACAAGUUUUUUUGGGGCACAGUCUAACUAAGUUGGUCUGGUGUCUGGAAUGAGACUGGUGCCUAAUAAAAAGGAGCGUCUAUACAGGAGCUUAAAUGGGCUGUACCUUAUAGCAUUCUGAGGACAGGUCUGACUUCUGAGAAGGGAAAGUGGUAGAAGUAUUGUCCAGUCCUUUUUAAGUUGGUAGCUGAGCUUGGUGAGGUGUGUUGUUAAAAGACCUUUAGUCCAUUCUACUUUUCUUGAAGACGGAGGACCGUAAGGGAUAUAAAGGUUUCACUGAAUACUAAGAGCCUGAAAAACUGCUUGGCUGAUUUGACUAAUAAAGGCUGGUCUGUUUUCAGACUGUAUAGAGGUGGGAAGGCUAAACUGAGGAACUAUGUCUGACAGAAGGGAAGAAAUGACUGCGGUGGCCUUCUCAGACCCUGUAGGAAAGGCCUCUACUUAUCUAGCGAAAGUGUCUACUUAGACUAAGAGGCAUUUUAGUUAUCUGACUCGGGGCAUGUUGAGUAAAGCUAAUUUGCCAGUCCUGGGUGGGGGCAAAUCUUCAAGCUUGAUGUGUAGGGAAGGGAGGGGGCCUGAAUAAUCCCUGAGGAGUAGUAGAAUAGCAGAUGGAACACUGAGAAGUUACUUCCUUGAGGAUAGAUUUCCAUGAUGGAAAGGAAAUGAGAGGUUCUAAGAGACGGGCUAGUGGCUUGUUCUAUAGCAUAGCCUGCCUUUGCUGGUAGGUGGCGAUUAGGCCUGGUGGAACUGCCGUCAAUAAAUCAAGCGUGAUCAGGGUGAGGAACAGGAAAGAAGGAAAUAUGGGGAAAUGAGGUGAAUAUCAGGUGGAUCAGAGAGAUACAGUCAUGGGGGUCAGGUGUGGUAUCAGGAAUAAUGUGGGAGGUCAGAUUGAAGUCCGGGCCAGGAACAAUGGUAAUUGUGGGACUUAACAAAGAGUGAGUACAGCUGAAGGAGCCAGGGAGUGGAAAGUAUAUGCGUCAGGUAUGAGGAAGAAAGUAGAUUUUGGAAGUUAUGAGAAAUGUAGAGAGUGAGUUGAGCAUUGUUUGUGAUUUUUAGGGCCUCUAAAAGUAUUAAAGCAGCGACAGCCGCUGCAUGCAGACAUGAGGGCUAGGCUAAAACAGUAAGGUCAAGUUGUUUGGACAGAAAGGCUACAGGGUGUGGUCCUGGCUCUUGUGUAAGAAUUCUGACUGCACUAACCAUGCCUAGGAAGGAAAGGAGUUGUUGUUUUGUAAGGGAUUGAGGUUUGGGAGAUUAAUGGGACACGAUCAGCAGGGAGAGCACGUGUGUUUUUAUGAGAAUUAUGCCAAGAUAGGUAACAGAUGAGGAUGAAAUUUGGGCUUGACUGAAGUAAUGGGGGCUGUCUGUGAAGGUUUGCGGCAGUACAGCCUAGGUAAUUUGCUGAGCUUGAUGGGUGUCAGGGUCAGUCCAAGUGAAAGCGAAGUGACGCUGGAAUGAAGGGUGCAAAGGAAUAGUAAAGAAAGCAUAUUUGAGAUCUAGAACAGAAUAAUGGGUUGUAGAGGGAGGUAUUGAGGAUAGGAGAGUAUAUGGGUUUGGCACUACAGGGUGGAUAGGCAAAACAAUUUGGUUGAUAAGGCGCAGAUCCUGAACUAAUUUGUAAGGCUUGUCUGAUUUUAGGACAGGUAAAAUGGGGGAAUUGUAAGGAGAGUUUAUAGGCUUUAAAAGGCCAUUCUGUAGCAGGCGAGUGAUAACAGGCUUUGGAUUGGGAAGAAGGGCAGCAAUGAGAUGUAGCUGUAGUCCAGGAAUAGUGAGGGAAGCAGAUAAUUUAGUUAAAGUGUCUCAGUCUAAUAAGGGAACUGGGCAGGUGGGGAUAACUAAAAAAGGAGUGCUUAAAAGAGUAUUGUCUAAGUUGGCACCAGAGUUGGGGAAUUUUAAGAGGUUUAGAAGCCUGGCCAUCAAUACCCACAACAGUUAUGGAGGCAUGGAGGCAAGGGAAACAGGCCCUUGAAAAGAAGGUACUGUGGAGUGGGUGGCCUCCAUAUUGAUUAAGGGGACAGACUUACCUUCCACUGUGAUAGUUACCCGAAGCUCGGCAUCUGUGAUGGGCUACAGGGCUUCUGAGGCGAUCGGGCAGCAUCAGUCUUCAGCUGCUAAGCCGAGAAGGAGUCAGUCAGAGAGCCUUGGGCCGGAGUUCCAGGGGCUCUGGGAGUGGCUGCCAGUAUCUGGGUCUCAAAUGCAUCUUAGAAGAUACGUUAUUUGAUGUUUGCUUCUCUUACGAAGAACUAAGUCUGAUAGAACAAUGAAGAACUCCCACAGGAACAUACCGAGGAAGCCAAGAGAGUCCACAGACCCUUUGAAGAAAGUGGAUUGCUCCUGCAGGCUCCAGGAGACAACUGAAAAACUGUUAAGUCCAACCCUGCUGGACCUGGUAUACAUUUUGAGUAGCAAGACAAUAUGUACACUCAACACAGCUCUCUGCUGCUGCUACUAGAGAAUACCUUUCUCUGUGCUACCUGUGCCUGAGACCUGAAGAAGAUGGAAACCCAGAAUGAGCACUGACUGAACAAGAAAAAAGAAAGCUUGCUCUCUAGUCAAAGUACAAGGAAAGGAGAAGCACAGCAAGAAAGAAAACUUUUUGAAAAUAACCUCUCUAUUCCAGCCAAACAAAACGGAAAAUAAGUUGUUGCCCUACUCUCACCCAUCCUAUUUAAGAACUACUAGACCUAGAUAUCCCCCCACAAAAGAAUCUAACAAGUUGCCUCCAAAAUCUCAUUGUGGUGGUAUCAGAGAGGACUAAAUAGGGAGAAUGUGGUCUUCUACCCCACCAAGCAAUAAGGAAGUUCAGCUUUUCCUCUCAGCUUAAAUGGUGUCUUAGGAGGUCUAAUGCAAAGUCAGAACUUUUGCCAUCACUCAGCUGUACAGAACCUGCACCCACUACGUUGUCAUAGAGAUCACCUGAGAAACCAAUUGCCAACACUAGCCCUGCAGUAAAAAGGAAGGAGCUGCCCAUUCCCAUCACUCAAAUGUCAAUAGAGGUCAAGUGAGGAAUCCUGAACUUCUACCUCCAAAUAGCAGUAAUAAGGUGGUGCCCUCUAUCCCCUACCAGAGCAGAGAAAUAUUGUUAAAACAGAAGUUUUAAGUAAAAUCCAGAGUUUCAUAGCACAAUACGAAAAUGUCUGAGUUUUAAUAGACAAUCACUUAUCAUGCCAAGAACCAGGAAGAUGUCAAACUGAAUUAAAAAAAACACUCAGUUGUGGCAGUGGGCUGAGAUCGUGCUGGUGCACUCCAGCCUGGACAACAGAGUGAGACACCAUCUCAAAAAACAAACAAACAAACAAACAAAAAAAACCACUCGAUGGCAAGUUGACAGCAAUAUAAUGAAAAUAAUUGUGUAACAUCACUGAUAUUUUUUGGCUGUGUCCCCACCCAAAUCUCAUCUUGAAUUGUAACUCCCUCAAUUUCCAUGUGUUGUGGGAGGAACCCAGUGGGAGGUAAUUGAAUCAUGGGGACGGGUCUUUCCUGUGCUGUUCUCAUGAUAGUGAAUAAGUCUCAUAAGAUGUGACAGUUUUAAAAAUGGGAGUUUCCCUGCACAGGUUCUCCCUCUUGCCACUGCCAUGUAAGAAGUGGCUUUUGCCUUCCUCCAUGAUGGUGAGACCUCCCCAGCCACAUGGAACUGAAAGUCCAUUAAACUUCUUUCAUUUUUAAACUGCCCAGUC